rnacentral:rRNA from 1 species
UACGUAGGUGGCAAGCGUUGUCCGGAAUUAUUGGGCGUAAAGCGCGCGCAGGCGGCCUUUUAAGUCUGAUGUGAAAGCCCACGGCUUAACCGUGGAAGGUCAUUGGAAACUGGAAGGCUUGAGUACAGAAGAGGAAAGUGGAAUUCCACGUGUAGCGGUGAAAUGCGUAGAGAUGUGGAGGAACACCAGUGGCGAAGGCGGCUUUCUGGUCUGUAACUGACGCUGAGGCGCGAAAGCGUGGGGAGCAAACAGG